rnacentral:rRNA from 1 species
CCGAAAAUGUACCGGGGCUAAACAUAUUACCGAAGCUGUGGAUUGUCCUUUGGACAAUGGUAGGAGAGCGUUCUAAGGGCGUUGAAGCAUGAUCGUAAGGACAUGUGGAGCGCUUAGAAGUGAGAAUGCCGGUGUGAGUAGCGAAAGACGGGUGAGAAUCCCGUCCACCGAUUGACUAAGGUUUCCAGAGGAAGGCUCGUCCGCUCUGGGUUAGUCGGGUCCUAAGCUGAGGCCGACAGGCGUAGGCGAUGGAUAACAGGUUGAUAUUCCUGUACCACCUAUAAUCGUUUUAAUCGAUGGGGGGACGCAGUAGGAUAGGCGAAGCGUGCGAUUGGAUUGCACGUCUAAGCAGUAAGGCUGAGUAUUAGGCAAAUCCGGUACUCAUUAAGGCUGAGCUGUGAUGGGGAGAAGACAUUGUGUCUUCGAGUCGUUGAUUUCACACUGCCGAGAAAAGCCUCUAGAUAGAAAAUAGGUGCCCGUACCGCAAACCGACACAGGUAGUCAAGAUGAGAAUUCUAAGGUGAGCGAGCGAACUCUCGUUAAGGAACUCGGCAAAAUGACCCCGUAACUUCGGGAGAAGGGGUGCUCUUUAGGGUUAACGCCCAGAAGAGCCGCAGUGAAUAGGCCCAAGCGACUGUUUAUCAAAAACACAGGUCUCUGCUAAACCGUAAGGUGAUGUAUAGGGGCUGACGCCUGCCCGGUGCUGGAAGGUUAAGAGGAGUGGUUAGCUUCUGCGAAGCUACGAAUCGAAGCCCCAGUAAACGGCGGCCGUAACUAUAACGGUCCUAAGGUAGCGAAAUUCCUUGUCGGGUAAGUUCCGACCCGCACGAAAGGCGUAACGAUUUGGGCACUGUCUCAACGAGAGACUCGGUGAAAUCAUAGUACCUGUGAAGAUGCAGGUUACCCGCGACAGGACGGAAAGACCCCGUGGAGCUUUACUGUAGCCUGAUAUUGAAAUUCGGCACAGCUUGUACAGGAUAGGUAGGAGCCUUUGAAACGUGAGCGCUAGCUUACGUGGAGGCGCUGGUGGGAUACUACCCUAGCUGUGUUGGCUUUCUAACCCGCACCACUUAUCGUGGUGGGAGACAGUGUCAGGCGGGCAGUUUGACUGGGGCGGUCGCCUCCUAAAAGGUAACGGAGGCGCUCAAAGGUUCCCUCAGAAUGGUUGGAAAUCAUUCAUAGAGUGUAAAGGCAUAAGGGAGCUUGACUGCGAGACCUACAAGUCGAGCAGGGUCGAAAGACGGACUUAGUGAUCCGGUGGUUCCGCAUGGAAGGGCCAUCGCUCAACGGAUAAAAGCUACCCCGGGGAUAACAGGCUUAUCUCCCCCAAGAGUUCACAUCGACGGGGAGGUUUGGCACCUCGAUGUCGGCUCAUCGCAUCCUGGGGCUGUAGUCGGUCCCAAGGGUUGGGCUGUUCGCCCAUUAAAGCGGUACGCGAGCUGGGUUCAGAACGUCGUGAGACAGUUCGGUCCCUAUCCGUCGUGGGCGUAGGAAAUUUGAGAGGAGCUGUCCUUAGUACGAGAGGACCGGGAUGGACAUACCUCUGGUGUACCAGUUGUCGUGCCAACGGCAUAGCUGGGUAGCUAUGUGUGGACGGGAUAAGUGCUGAAAGCAUCUAAGCAUGAAGCCCCCCUCAAGAUGAGAUUUCCCAACUUCGGUUAUAAGAUCCCUCAAAGAUGAUGAGGUUAAUAGGUUCGAGGUGGAAGCAUGGUGACAUGUGGAGCUGACGAAUACUAAUCGAUCGAAGACUUAAUCAA